rnacentral:rRNA from 1 species
CAGCCGCCACGGUAAAACGAAGGGGGCUAGCGUUGUUCGGAAUUACUGGGCGUAAAGCGCACGUAGGCGGAUAUUUAAGUCAGGGGUGAAAUCCCGCAGCUCAACUGCGGAACUGCCUUUGAUACUGGGUAUCUUGAGUAUGGAAGAGGUUAGUGGAAUUGCGAGUGUAGAGGUGAAAUUCGUAGAUAUUCGCAGGAACACCAGUGGCGAAGGCGGCUAACUGGUCCAUAACUGACGCUGAGGUGCGAAAGCGUGGGGAGCAAACAGGAUUAGAUACCCCGGUAGUCCCUGUCUCUUAUAC